rnacentral:rRNA from 1 species
AGAGUUUGAUCAUGGCUCAGGACGAACGCUGGCGGCGUGCUUAACACAUGCAAGUCGAACGACUUCUAUAUUGGAAGCUUGCUGGAUUUAUAGAGUUAGUGGCGGACGGGUGAGUAACGCGUGAGGAUCUGCCCUUCGAGGGGGACAACAGUUGGAAACGCUGCUAAUACCCCAUAAGCGAGAGGUAAAGGAGUAAUCCACCAGAGAGGAUCUCGCGUCCUAUCAGCUAGUUGUAGGUACGGCUUACCAGGCAAUGACGGGUAACUGGUCUGAGAGGGCGACCAGUCACACUGGAACUGAGACACGGUCCAGACUCCUACGGGAGGCAGCAGUGGGGAAUAUUGGGCAAUGGGGGAAACCCUGACCCAGCGACGCCGCGUGAGGGAUGAAGUCUUUCGGGACGUAAACCUCUGUUGUACGGGAAGAAUAAAUUGACGGUACCGUACGAGGAAGGCCCGGCAAACUACGUGCCAGCAGCCGCGGUAAUACGUAGGGGCCAAGCGUUGUCCGGAAUUACUGGGCGUAAAGAGCACGUAGGCGGAUCGUUAAGUCGACUGUGAAAGUCCUGGGCUCAACCCGGGAAUUGCAGUUGAUACUGGCGGACUAGAGUACUGGAGAGGGAAGUGGAAUUCCCGGUGUAGCGGUGAAAUGCGCAGAUAUCGGGAGGAACACCAGUGGCGAAGGCGGCUUCCUGGCCAGUAACUGACGCUGAGGUGCGAAAGCUGGGGGAGCGAACCGGAUUAGAUACCCGGGUAGUCCCAGCCGUAAACCGAUGAAUGCUAGGUGUUCGCAGUGCGAGCUGUGAGUGCCGCAGUUAACGCGAUAAGCCAUUCCGCCUGGGGAGUACGGCCA